AUCCGUGUAGAGCAAUAGAUAGCUCGUUGGACUUCUAAUCCAGAGGUCGUGCGUUCGAACCCACCUGGGAAG